rnacentral:rRNA from 1 species
AUGAACGCUGGCGGCGUGCCUAAUACAUGCAAGUCGAGCGAACAGACGAGGAGCUUGCUCCUCUGACGUUAGCGGCGGACGGGUGAGUAACACGUGGAUAACCUACCUAUAAGACUGGGAUAACUUCGGGAAACCGGAGCUAAUACCGGAUAAUAUAUUGAACCGCAUGGUUCAAUAGUGAAAGACGGUUUUGCUGUCACUUAUAGAUGGAUCCGCGCCGCAUUAGCUAGUUGGUAAGGUAACGGCUUACCAAGGCAACGAUGCAUAGCCGACCUGAGAGGGUGAUCGGCCACACUGGAACUGAGACACGGUCCAGACUCCUACGGGAGGCAGCAGUAGGGAAUCUUCCGCAAUGGGCGAAAGCCUGACGGAGCAACGCCGCGUGAGUGAUGAAGGUCUUCGGAUCGUAAAACUCUGUUAUUAGGGAAGAACAAAUGUGUAAGUAACUAUGCACGUCUUGACGGUACCUAAUCAGAAAGCCACGGCUAACUACGUG